GAAGUAUCAAUUCAGCAAAGAGCUUUCUAUUAAAACUUCAUCCACUUUAACAGUUUCUGAAACGUUUGCUUUCCAGCUGCCACAGAAAUCCAACCAAACAUGAGAAUUCCCUGUGAGGUUUGCAACAGUAUGGACCUGGAAGAAUUUACUGUUUGGCCAGGGUGUCCUAGGAAGGCGGCAGUGUGGAGGUGGCUGCCUGGCCUGUCCCAGCUGUGACCGCUGCUGUCCCCUCACAUGUCGCUGCCGGGGUGUUUGUGCAUCCACCGUCCCCAGCCCUCGGGAGGGGCUGACUGCACAGGCAAGGGAGCCACCACUGCCUGCCCGGGCUGCUCAGCCUUACAGACAAAUUUGCUGCCAACAAAACACAGGAGUUAUUACAAGUCCAAUCUCUACAGCCUCUCCAGAACUUCCCAAUGGUUUAUGACAGACAGCUGCUCCUGAGCUCCUGUCAGGAGAUGUGCUAUAAAUAACUUGGCAGCUAAAUGAUGCCUGAAGAAGAGGAGAAAUGGGUUCGGAGGUUUUUAAUGAUUUGGAAUUACCUCAGAGAUCCAAGAAAGAUCCUGAUUUUUUUGAGAAUUCUAUGCAGAUUGUUUUAAGAAACCAAGGAAUAAAAAUAAUGGAGAGAAAACCUCUGCUUAGCUGACUAGAGCCGAGCCAAAAAGUGAGACAUCAUUCUAAUGACAAUCUUGAAAAGGGAAAGAAGUAGAUAUUGAACAUCUUGAAUUUAGAUUAUGCUGCAAGACACUUUACAAAAAGAAAAGAGAAAACAAACUAUCAAAAAAAUUCUAGGAAAUGUUCUUCUAAGACUAUUACUAAAAAUUACAUUUACUUAAUAAAUAUAUUAAUAUGGUUAUAUGUACAAUA